UCCGAGUUGACCCCGGCAGUCUCCUAUGAGUCCCCGGCUUGAACCGCUGGCAACAUAGGACAAGGGUUGCGCUCGUUGCGGGACUUAACCCAACAUCUCACGACACGAGCUGACGACAGCCAUGCACCACCUGUGAACCUGCCCCGAAGGGAAGCCCUGUUUCCAGAGCGAUCAGGCACAUGUCAAGCCCGGGUAAGGUUCUUCGCGUUGCGUCGAAUUAAACCACAUGCUCCGCUGCUUGUGCGGGCCCCCGUCAAUCCCUUUGAGUUUUAGCCUUGCGGCCGUACUCCCCAGGCGGUCAACUUCACGCGUUAGCUUCGUUACCAAGGAAUUGCUUCCCCGACAACCAGUUGACAUAGUUUAGGGCGUGGACUAC
rnacentral:misc_RNA from 1 species